rnacentral:lncRNA from 1 species
GGCUAAGGAGAUGCAUGGUCUGCCUCGGUUUUCAUGACCAGUACCCCCUCAUGCCGCGCGCGCUCUUCCUUUGUUUACCAGAAUUUUCGUACGACAGGUGCUGCUAUGCGUGCAACCAUCCUUCUUAAUUUGUAUGCCUGAUGAAAUCCUGAAAACAAAAUUGAGAGGAUUUGUUUGUUACUACUAAAUAAAUGUCAAGGGAAGGUACAUAUUUCUAAAAUAAAGGAGAGAGA